rnacentral:rRNA from 1 species
ACGAACGCUGGCGGCGUGCUUAACACAUGCAAGUCGAACGGUGAAGGGGUCUGCUUUUGUGGGCCCUGGAUGAGUGGCGAACGGGUGAGUAACACGUGAGUAACCUGCCCCCUUCUUCUGGAUAACCGCAUGAAAGUGUGGCUAAUACGGGAUAUUCUGGGUCUGUCGCAUGAUGGGUCUGGGAAAGAUUGCGCCUUUGGGUGUUUUUGGUGGGGGAUGGGCUCGCGGCCUAUCAGCUUGUUGGUGGGGUGAUGGCCUACCAAGGCGGUGACGGGUAGCCGGCCUGAGAGGGUGGACGGUCACACUGGGACUGAGACACGGCCCAGACUCCUACGGGAGGCAGCAGUGGGGAAUAUUGCACAAGGGGCGCAAGCCUGAUGCAGCGACGCCGCGUGAGGGAUGGAGGCCUUCGGGUUGUAAACCUCUUUCGCCAGUGAAGCAGGCCUGCUCCUUGUGGGUGGGUUGACGGUAGCUGGAGAAGAAGCGCCGGCUAACUACGUG